UACAGAGGGUGCAAGCGUUGUUCGGAAUUACUGGGCGUAAAGCGAACGUAGGUGGUUAUGUGUGUCUGGUGUGAAAGCCCACGGCUCAACCGUGGAAGUGCGCCAGAAACUGCGUAACUGGAGUGUAGGAGAGGAUAGUAGAAUUCUCAGUGUAGAGGUGAAAUUCGUAGAUACUGGGAGGAACACCGGUGGCGAAGGCGACUAUCUGGACUAUAACUGACACUGAUGUUCGAAAGCGUGGGUAGCAAACAGG
rnacentral:rRNA from 1 species